AGCUUUGUGCAGUGAUAGUAUCAGAACCAAUGAGAUUUAUCUGAGGAAUGAUUAUUGCUGAUUGAAAACAAGCAAAAGAUUUAUUUUUUUGUUUAAUGUGUAUGAGUGUUUUGCUUGCAUGUAUGUGUACCACAUGC